rnacentral:rRNA from 1 species
UUAGAGUUUNAUCCUGGCUCAGAUUGAACGCUGGCGGCAGGCCUAACACAUGCAAGUCGAGCGGUAGAGAGAAGCUUGCUUCUCUUGAGAGCGGCGGACGGGUGAGUAAUGCCUAGGAAUCUGCCUGGUAGUGGGGGAUAACGUUCGGAAACGGACGCUAAUACCGCAUACGUCCUACGGGAGAAAGCAGGGGACCUUCGNGCCUUGCGCUAUCAGAUGAGCCUAGGUCGGAUUAGCUAGUUGGUGAGGUAAUGGCUCACCAAGGCGACGAUCCGUAACUGGUCUGAGAGGAUGAUCAGUCACACUGGAACUGAGACACGGUCCAGACUCCUACGGGAGGCAGCAGUGGGGAAUAUUGGACAAUGGGCGAAAGCCUGAUCCAGCCAUGCCGCGUGUGUGAAGAAGGUCUUCGGAUUGUAAAGCACUUUAAGUUGGGAGGAAGGGCAGUUACCUAAUACGUGAUUGUUUUGACGUUACCGACAGAAUAAGCACCGGCUAACUCUGUGCCAGCAGCCGCGGUAAUACAGAGGGUGCAAGCGUUAAUCGGAAUUACUGGGCGUAAAGCGCGCGUAGGUGGUUAGUUAAGUUGGAUGUGAAAUCCCCGGGCUCAACCUGGGAACUGCAUUCAAAACUGACUGACUAGAGUAUGGUAGAGGGUGGUGGAAUUUCCUGUGUAGCGGUGAAAUGCGUAGAUAUAGGAAGGAACACCAGUGGCGAAGGCGACCCACCCUGGACCUGAUACCUGACACUGAGGUGCGAAAGCGUGGGAGCAACCAG